rnacentral:lncRNA from 1 species
GUACGUGCCACAUCCGCGAGCCUCCACGUCCGCUCCUCCGUACCUGCACACAACGAACGCAACAAAGCAGAAAAGGCAAAACAAAAGAGCAAAAAUCGACAGCAAAAAAAAAAAAAGAAAAAUAGAAAAAAGAGCAAAACACAUUUUCUUUUGUAAUUUUCAUUUUUUCGGCUAUAUAAAGCAAUUUUUCAGCAUCUGUA